AUGGAGUUGAAGACGAUGAAGGAUUUUAAAGCUAAUAAUUUAACCAGAGAGAUAAGGAUGGGGGCCCAGAUCCUGAAAGCAGUGGGAGCUGGGAUCCUAAAUUGUACUGGAUCUCAGAGCUCAUGGGGAAAACCACCCUCACCCACCCUGCAGGAGAAGCACAAUGGCACAAUGGCACCCUCUGUUGCCCUGCACGCUGCUCCCACGUGGAUGUAUGAACUCCCAAAGGUAUCCAUUCCCCAUCUCCAAAUCUCAUCUCUUCCUGUCGAGCUUCCUGGUUUGUUUGGAGUUAUCCUGUUAUUUCCAUUUGUAAUAAAAAUCUGUCUUGUUCUUUUUGUACUGAGUGGAGAAACACUGAGAGGAUCGUCACACUCUUUUCAUGAACAGUGGCCCCUUGUCCCCAUUUUGUCCUCCCUAAGUGGCAGCUCCUUGCAACAGUGGUAUUAACCCCUGAGCUCAGCCCUGCAAAGCGGUGGUCGUUCCCAGCAUUAACUGGAAAGCAAUUAGUCUUUAUGAGAUUGGGUUGUCCAACUCUCAUGCAAUUAAUUAAACAAAAACUUUGUUCAUUAAUUAAAAUACAUAGUGAAUCUGAUUUUUGCUCUGAUCCUCUGUGUGUUCAUAAGCAAACAACCAGUUCCUUUUAUUCUUGUAUCCUUGUGAACACACUUUAAUUGCUCAUUAAUAUAAAGUUAAUGGGCUGACACACAACUAGCUGCUUCUUUCUUUUUGGACUUCUCUAACAAUGACUUUUUUGUGUGUAUCUGGCAAAGAAGCCAGAAUCAACCAACUUUUUUUCUGUGUUUUACUCCCAUGCCAUGCUGUAAAGGACUGCACAAUUACCUUGCUGUAAUGUUAUUAUGCAGGACUGAUUUUGCUGUGAUGGCAUAAGAGGAAUUAGAUAUGCCCUUUCUAUUGUUGUUGAUAUGACUGUGCCUGUUUUCCCCAUAUGCAGACUGAAAGAAUUAUCAGAAGCAGUGAGUAGAACUUAUCACUUAGAAAUGAUUACUCAGAAGUCAUGAAGUGAUGUUAAUGUGAACAGAUUUCAGUGCAUCUAUUUGACAAACACAAAUGGUCUGUGAGUAUGUUGAAGUAUAACAAAAAACAAGUUGGAAAUAUUUGACAUGCUGUGUCUGUUCAGUUUUAAGCAGCCUCACCUACUGUGCCAAUGACUUACAGUCAGAUUUGGAUCUUGCAUGCUCAUCAUCAGCUUUCAGGACCCACGCUACAUCAUUUGCUUCCUUUGAUUCCAAAAAGAUUUUGUCAAGACAUUGAAUCGAAUUUUAUCCCAGGCCUCACAAAUACAUCCGUGUUUGACAGCUGUGGGAAAGAAGGGGGUUCAAGCUGAAUCUAUUGUUUGUUCAGAAAUAUCUAAUUUCAUAAGUCAAAUUACUCGUAAUGAUUCCACACUAAUUUGUCAUUUGAGUCCUUUGCAGGCCUACUUUCUCCCAGAUGAUGGGAGAUGAGAAGAAUUGCCUAAGCUUUUGGUACUGUGUAGAUCUCUGCUGAAACACAUUCUGAUUGCUGCUGACCUCGAUACAUCUUUUUUCUUAUAAGCUUAAGCCCGCAAGCUUCAGAAUUCAACAUAAAAGAGCAGCUGCCAUCUGAUUUUGUUCUCAUUUAUAGAGAAACAACUCAAUUUCAGGAAAUAAAUAAAUAAAUAAGCAAUUCA
rnacentral:lncRNA from 1 species